UACGUAGGGUGCAAGCGUUGUCCCGGAAUUAUUGGGCGUAAAGAGCUCGUAGGCGGUUCGUCGCGUCGGCUGUGAAAUCCCGAGGCUCAACCUCGGGUCUGCAGUCGAUACGGGCGGACUGGAGUUCGGCAGGGGAGAACGGAAUUCCUGGUGUAGCGGUGAAAUGGCGCAGAUAUCAGGAGGAACACCGGUGGCGAAGGCGGUUCUCUGGGCCUGUACUGACGCUGAGGAGCGAAAGCGUGGGGAGCAAACAGG
rnacentral:rRNA from 1 species